rnacentral:rRNA from 1 species
AUUGAACGCUGGCGGCAGGCCUAACACAUGCAAGUCGAGCGAGUGGCGGACGGGUGAGUAAUGUAUGGGGAUCUGCCCGAUAGAGGGGGAUAACUACUGGAAACGGUAGCUAAUACCGCAUACUAUCGGAUGAACCCAUAUGGGAUUAGCUAGUAGGUGGGGUAAAGGCUCACCUAGGCGACGAUCCCUAGCUGGUCUGAGAGGAUGACCAGCCACACUGGGACUGAGACACGGCCCAGACUCCUACGGGAGGCAGCAGUGGGGAAUAUUGCACAAUGGGCGCAAGCCUGAUGCAGCCAUGCCGCGUGUAUGAAGAAGGCCUUAGGGUUGUAAAGUACUUUCAGCGGGGAGGCGUUACCCGCAGAAGAAGCACCGGCUAACUCCGUGCCAGCAGCCGCGGUAAUUC